UAGAUGAACGACUUAACAACUUUACACAACUUGUGCAGGGGCGGAUCUACCGGGGUGGCAUAGGGUGGCAAGUGCCACCCUAAAAGAAAGCCUUGCCACCCCUGCUGCCACCCCAGUUGGCAGCAACGAAUUAAAAGAAAAGUUACGGCAUUUGACAUUUACGAGCGUGAAUCUCCAAUGUCCGACUGCACUGAAUGCAGCACGAGAUAACGUCAGAGCGGCCGGCAAGACACUGAUUGGUUGGAAACACUGAGUGGCGCGAAGCGAGGGAGCCAGGAGUCGCGAGGACAGGAGAGACGGGAGGAAAGAGGGGGGCGGCGCCCUCUAUUGGCCCGCCGCCACUGGGAAACGGUCUGAUGAAGGCCAAGGGAGGAGUCGUGGGGACCAAGCUGAGGCCAUUCUUGGACAAACUGAGUCAGGUCCAAGGGCUGUAUGAGGCAGAGCAGAGGGGGAAAGAGAGGGCAAGGACAUGAAGAAAGGAUGCUCCUCGGUUGUACACCGCUCUGCAUUCAUGGAGCUGUGACUGUUCCUUCCUGAGCGUGCAGCACGGGGAAGGUACGCCGGGUCACCUCACUUUCCUCUCUCAACCAAUAACACAACAUAUUCUGACUGUCAAUCCCCAACAAACAGCCACCCUCCUCAGAGUCUUUUUGUGCCACCCAGACUGACAGUUUGAACGCACGCACAAACCCUAACCGUCCUAUAUCAGCAAACCACAGAGCCACUAACACCCACGUUGUUCUUUUAUUUUCUGACAAAUGUCUGUCUUUACUCUUCUGUUCUGUACACAUUCUUUCUGUCUUUGUCCUGUUGUUCUGUAUUUUGUUUCUUGUGUUAAAAUAAUAAAAGAAAACUCAAGAACAUCCUCAGAAUUUAGAUCAGGCCAAUGUUUUUAUAUCACUAGAGUCACAGAACUAUUUACAGAACAAGGUUUUUUUUAAAAUAAAAGUUGCUAUAUUUUCUUAAAUACAGACACAUUUUACACGUUUGAUACUUAUUAAAAGUAAAUUAUCUGUUCUCAUGUCAGCCGAGCACUCCCUCAGCCCUACUGCACAGCUUUGCACUGAACCGUGCUCCAGCAUUCUUUAAACACAGUUGGUUCCUCCUAGACCGGCUCCACUGGAAGAACCACAUUGACAGGUUCCAGCUUCCAGUCCAACCCUCAGCCCCAGGUUC